CAGCCGCCGCGGGAACACGGAGGAUCCAAGCGUUAUCCGGAAUCAUUGGGUUUAAAGGGUCCGUAGGCGGUCUUGUAAGUCAGUGGUGAAAGCCCAUCGCUCAACGGUGGAACGGCCAUUGAUACUGCAGGACUUGAAUUAUUGGGAAGUAACUAGAAUAUGUAGUGUAGCGGUGAAAUGCUUAGAGAUUACAUGGAAUACCAAUUGCGAAGGCAGGUUACUACCAAUUGAUUGACGCUGAUGGACGAAAGCGUGGGUAGCGAACAGGAUUAGAUACCCCCGUAGUCCCUGUCUCUUAUCA
rnacentral:rRNA from 1 species